rnacentral:tRNA from 1 species
AAGGGUAUAGCUCAGGGGUAGAGCAUGUGCUUAACAUGCACGAGGUCCUGGGUUCAGUCCCCAGUACCUCCA